rnacentral:rRNA from 1 species
UUUUAUUUGAGAGUUUGAUCCUGGCUCAGGAUGAACGCUGGCGGCGUGCCUAACACAUGCAAGUUGAGCGAUUUACUUCGGUAAAGAGCGGCGGACGGGUGAGUAACGCGUGGGUAACCUACCCUGUACACACGGAUAACAUACCGAAAGGUAUGCUAAUACGGGAUAAUAUAUUUGAGAGGCAUCUCUUGAAUAUCAAAGGUGAGCCAGUACAGGAUGGACCCGCGUCUGAUUAGCUAGUUGGUAAGGUAACGGCUUACCAAGGCGACGAUCAGUAGCCGACCUGAGCGGGUGAUCGGCCACAUUGGAACUGAGACACGGUCCAAACUCCUACGGGAGGCAGCAGUGGGGAAUAUUGCACAAUGGGCGAAAGCCUGAUGCAGCAACGCCGCGUGAGUGAUGAAGGCCUUAGGGUC